rnacentral:rRNA from 1 species
GACGAACGCUGGCGGCGUGCUUAACACAUGCAAGUCGAACGGUAAGGCUCCAGCUUGCUGGGGUACACGAGUGGCGAACGGGUGAGUAACACGUGGGUGACCUGCCCUGCACUUCGGGAUAAGCCUGGGAAACUGGGUCUAAUACCGGAUAGGACCGCACCGUGAGGGUGUGGUGGAAAGUUUUUUCGGUGUGGGAUGGGCCCGCGGCCUAUCAGCUUGUUGGUGGGGUAAUGGCCUACCAAGGCGGCGACGGGUAGCCGGCCUGAGAGGGUGGACGGCCACAUUGGGACUGAGACACGGCCCAGACUCCUACGGGAGGCAGCAGUGGGGAAUAUUGCACAAUGGGCGGAAGCCUGAUGCAGCGACGCCGCGUGGGGGAUGACGGCCUUCGGGUUGUAAACUCCUUUCACCAUCGACGAAGGGUUUCUGACGGUAGAUGGAGAAGAAGCACCGGCUAACUACGUGCCAGCAGCCGCGGUAAUACGUAGGGUGCGAGCGUUGUCCGGAAUUACUGGGCGUAAAGAGCUCGUAGGUGGUUUGUCGCGUCGUCUGUGAAAUUCCGGGGCUUAACUCCGGGCGUGCAGGCGAUACGGGCAUAACUUGAGUACUGUAGGGGAGACUGGAAUUCCUGGUGUAGCGGUGAAAUGCGCAGAUAUCAGGAGGAACACCGGUGGCGAAGGCGGGUCUCUGGGCAGUAACUGACGCUGAGGAGCGAAAGCAUGGGGAGCGAACAGGAUUAGAUACCCUGGUAGUCCAUGCCGUAAACGGUGGGCGCUAGGUGUGGGUUUCCUUCCACGGGAUCCGUGCCGUAGCUAACGCAUUAAGCGCCCCGCCUGGGGAGUACGGCCGCAAGGCUAAAGCUCAAAGGAAUUGACGGGGGCCCGCACAAGCGGCGGAGCAUGUGGAUUAAUUCGAUGCAACGCGAAGAACCUUACCUGGGCUUGACGUAUACAGGAUCGCGCCAGAGAUGGUGUUUCCCUUGUGGCUUGUAUACAGGUGGUGCAUGGUUGUCGUCAGCUCGUGUCGUGAGAUGUUGGGUUAAGUCCCGCAACGAGCGCAACCCUUGUCUUAUGUUGCCAGCACGUUGUGGUGGGGACUCGUAAGAAACUGCCGGGGUUAACUCGGAGGAAGGUGGAGAUGACGUCAAAUCAUCAUGCCCCUUAUGUCCAGGGCUUCACACAUGCUACAAUGGUCGGUACAGUGGGUUGCCAGUCCGUGAGGGCGAGCUAAUCCCGCAAAGCCGGUCUCAGUUCGGAUCGGGGUCUGCAACUCGACCCCGUGAAGUCGGAGUCGCUAGUAAUCGCAGAUCAGCAACGCUGCGGUGAAUACGUUCCCGGGCCU